CAUCAGCCUAACAUCAGCCUCAGCCUCAACAUCAGCUCAACAUCAGCCUCAGCCUCAACAUCAGCCUCAGCCUCAACAUCAGCCUCAACAUCAACAUCAGCCUCAACAUCAGCCUCAACAUCAGCCUCAACAUCAGCCUCAACAUCAAAAUCAGCCUCAACAUCAGCCUCAACAUCAGCCUCAACAUCAACAUCAGCCUCAACAUCAGCCUCAACAUCAGCCUCAACAUCAGCAUCAGCCUCAACAUCAGCCUCAACAUCAGCAUCAGCCUCAACAUCAGCCUCAACAUCAGCAUCAACCUCAACAUCAGCCUCAACAUCAGCCUCAACAUCAGCAUCAGCCUCAACAUCAGCCUCAACAUCAACAUCAGCCUCAACAUCAGCAUCAGCCUCAACAUCAACAUCAGCCUCAACAUCAGCCUCAACAUCAGCCUCAACAUCAGCAUCAGCCUCAACAUCAGCAUCAACAUCAUCAACAUCAGCCUCAACAUCAGCCUCAACAUCAACAUCAGCCUCAACAUCAGCAUCAGCCUCAACAUCAGCCUCAACAUCAACAUCAGCCUCAACAUCAGCAUCAGCCUCAACAUCAGCAUCAGCCUCAACAUCAACAUCAGCCUCAACAUCAGCAUCAGCCUCAACAUCAGCCUCAACAUCAGCCUCAACAUCAGCAUCAGCCUCAACAUCAGCCUCAACAUCAGCCUCAGCAUCAGCCUCAACAUCAGCAUCAACAUCACAUCAGCCUCAACAUCAGCAUCAGCCUCAACAUCAGCCUCAACAUCAGCCUCAACAUCAACAUCAGCCUCAACAUCAGCAUCAGCCUCAACAUCAGCAUCAGCCUCAACAUCAGCCUCAACAUCAGCCUCAACAUCAACAUCAGCCUCAACAUCAGCCUCAACAUCAGCAUCAGCCUCAACAUCAGCAUCAGCCUCAACAUCAGCAUCAGCCUCAACAUCAACAUCAACAUCAGCCUCAACAUCAGCAUCAGCCUCAACAUCAACAUCAGCCUCAACAUCAACAUCAGCCUACAAAUCAGCCUCAACAUCAGCAUCAGCCUCAACAUCAACAUCAGCCUCAACAUCAGCAUCAGCCUCAACAUCAGCAUCAACAUCAUCAACAUCAGCCUCAACAUCAGCCUCAGCCUCAACAUCAGCAUCAGCCUCAACAUCAGCCUCAACAUCAACAUCAGCCUCAACAUCAGCCUCAACAUCAGCAUCAGCCUCAACAUCAGCAUCAGCCUCAACAUCAACAUCAGCCUCAACAUCAGCAUCAGCCUCAACAUCAGCCUCAACAUCAGCCUCAACAUCAGCAUCAGCCUCAACAUCAGCCUCAACAUCAGCCUCAACAUCAGCAUCAGCCUCAACAUCAGCCUCAACAUCAACAUCAGCCUCAACAUCAGCAUCAGCCUCAACAUCAGCCUCAACAUCAGCCUCAACAUCAGCCUCAACAUCAGCAUCAGCCUCAACAUCAGCCUCAACAUCAACAUCAGCCUCAACAUCAGCCUCAACAUCAGCAUCAGCCUCAACAUCAGCAUCAGCCUCAACAUCAGCCUCAGCAUCAGCCUCAACAUCAGCCUCAACAUCAACAUCAGCCUCAACAUCAGCCUCAACAUCAGCAUCAGCCUCAACAUCAGCAUCAGCCUCAACAUCAGCCUCAACAUCAGCCUCAACAUCAACAUCAGCCUCAACAUCAACAUCAGCCUCAACAUCAGCCUCAACAUCAGCAUCAGACUCAAAAUCAGCCUCAACAUCAGCCUCAACAUCAACAUCAGCCUCAACAUCAGCCUCAACAUCAGCAUCAGCCUCAAAAUCAGCCUCAACAUCAGCCUCAACAUCAACAUCAGCCUCAACAUCAGCCUCAACAUCAGCCUCAACAUCAACAUCAGCCUCAACAUCAGCCUCAACAUCAGCCUCAACAUCAGCCUCAGCCUCAACAUCAGCCUCAACAUCAGCAUCAGCCUCAACAUCAGCCUCAACAUCAACAUCAGCCUCAACAUCAGCAUCAGCCUCAACAUCAGCAUCAGCCUCAACAUCAGCAUCAGCCUCAACAUCAGCCUCAACAUCAGCCUCAACAUCAGCCUCAACAUCAGCCUCAACAUCAGCAUCAGCCUCAACAUCAGCAUCAGCCUCAACAUCAGCCUCAACAUCAGCAUCAACAUCAUCAACAUCAGCCUCAACAUCAGCCUCAACAUCAGCAUCAACAUCAUCAACAUCAGCCUCAACAUCAGCCUCAGCCUCAACAUCAGCCUCAACAUCAGCCUCAACAUCAGCAUCAGCCUCAACAUCAGCCUCAACAUCAACAUCAGCCUCAACAUCAGCAUCAGCCUCAACAUCAGCAUCAGCCUCAACAUCAGCAUCAGCCUCAACAUCAGCCUCAACAUCAGCCUCAACAUCAGCCUCAACAUCAGCCUCAACAUCAGCAUCAGCCUCAACAUCAGCAUCAGCCUCAACAUCAGCCUCAACAUCAGCAUCAACAUCAUCAACAUCAGCCUCAACAUCAGCCUCAACAUCAACAUCAGCCUCAACAUCAGCCUCAACAUCAACAUCAGCCUCAACAUCAGCAUCAGCCUCAACAUCAGCAUCAACAUCAGCCUCAACAUCAGCAUCAGCCUCAACAUCAGCCUCAACAUCAGCAUCAGCCUCAACAUCAGCAUCAGCCUCAACAUCAGCCUCAACAUCAGCAUCAACAUCAUCAACAUCAGCCUCAACAUCAGACUCAACAUCAACAUCAGCCUCAACAUCAGCCUCAACAUCAACAUCAGCCUCAACAUCAGCAUCAGCCUCAACAUCAGCCUCAACAUCAGCCUCAACAUCAGCCUCAACAUCAACAUCAGCCUCAACAUCAGCCUCAACAUCAACAUCAGCCUCAACAUCAGCCUCAACAUCAGCAUCAGCCUCAACAUCAGCAUCAGCUGUAUAACGGAGGUGUUUAUGGCUCAGGUAACAGGUUGAGGGGGCGGGGCUGUAUAACGGAGGUGUUUAUGGCUCAGGUAACAGGUUGA
ensembl:lncRNA